rnacentral:rRNA from 1 species
UGCGCAGGCGGCCCGAUAAGUCAGGGGUGAAAUAUGACGGCUUAACCGUCAAACUGCCCCUGAAACUGUCAGGCUUGAGUUCGAGAGAGGUAGGUGGAAUUCCAGGUGUAGCGGUGAAAUGCGUAAAUAUCUGGAGGAACACCGGUGGCGAAGGCGGCCUACUGGCUCGAUACUGACGCUCAGGCACGAAAGCAUGGGGAGCGAACAGGAUUAGAUACCCUGGUAGUCC